rnacentral:rRNA from 1 species
GACGAACGCUGGCGGCGUGCUUAACACAUGCCAGUCGAACGGAAAGGCCCCCUUGUGGGGUACUCGAGUGGCGAACGGGUGAGUAACACGUGAGUAACCUACCCUUGACUUUGGGAUAACUUCAGGAAACUGGGGCUAAUACCGGAUCGGAGCUCCUGCUGCAUGGUGGGGGUUGGAAAGUUUCGGCGGUUGGGGAUGGACUCGCGGCUUAUCAGCUUGUUGGUGGGGUAGUGGCUCACCAAGGCUUUGACGGGUAGCCGGCCUGAGAGGAUGACCGGCCACAUUGGGCCUGAGAUACGGCCCAGACUCCUACGGGAGGCAGCAGUGGGGAAUAUUGCACAAUGGGCGGAAGCAUGAUGCAGCAACGCCGCGUGCGGGAUGACGGCCUUCGGGUUGUAAACCGCUUUCGCCUGUGACGAAGCGUGAGUGACGGUAAUGGGUAAAGAAGCACCGGCUAACUACGUG